rnacentral:rRNA from 1 species
ACCAGACUCCUACGGGAGGCAGCAGUGGGGGAUAUUGCACAAUGGGGGGAACCCUGAUGCAGCGACGCCGCGUGGGUGAAGAAGCGCCUCGGCGCGUAAAGCCCUGUCAGCAGGGAAGAAAAUGACGGUACCUGAAGAAGAAGCCCCGGCUAACUACGUGCCAGCAGCCGCGGUAAUACGUAGGGGGCAAGCGUUAUCCGGAUUUACUGGGUGUAAAGGGGGCGCAGACGGCGAUGCAAGCCAGGAGUGAAAGCCCGGGGCCCAACCCCGGGACUGCUCUUGGAACUGCGUGGCUGGAGUGCAGGAGGGGCAGGCGGAAUUCCUGGUGUAGCGGUGAAAUGCGUAGAUAUCAGGAGGAACACCGGUGGCGAAGGCGGCCUGCUGGACUGCAACUGACGUUGAGGCCCGAAAGCGUGGGGAGCAAACAGGAUUAGAUACCCCAGUAGAC